AAGUCGUAACAAGGUUUCCGUAGGUGAACCUGCGGAAGGAUCAUUAAUGAAUUUCACCACAUAUGGAGAAUUUCAAAAAAAAAAAUUUCCAUAUCCACCUUGUGUGCACCGAAAACAAAAUAUUAUGUGAAAGUCCUUUUGGUCGUUGCAUAAAGAUUUAUCUUAUCACGACCAAAAGGCAACUUUCUCAUUCUUUUUUUUUUUAACGCGUCUGAAAACCAAAAAAAAGGUCUGAAAAAUUUCAAUGAAAUGAAAAUUAUAAUAAAAUAAAAACAACUUUCAGCAACGGAUCUCUAGGCUCUU
rnacentral:misc_RNA from 1 species